GGGAAGGCGGCCGCGCCACUAUGAGUGCGCAUGUGCGGUGUCUCCUGGCAGUCUUAGCUUUCGGUCCCCACCUGGCGGUCAGGAAGGCGGCGUGGGAGGUUCGGGGAGCGUGAGCAGCUUUGGCUAGGGUAGUUGGGGGAAGCUGAGGACCAGAGAAGCAAGGGAAGAUGUUGUCGUUUUCUGAGAACAGAUUACCAGGUUAGGAAAUAGGCUCUGAGAAGGAAAAGGAAUUGCCUCGGGUCCCGUGAUGACUCCAUAGUUGAGUUGGGAUUUGAACAUCUAAGUUUCAACCUCGGACACUCAGAAGUAACAGACUUUGAACGACGCCUUGAAAAGGUCCAUUUCUUCAUGUGUCAAAUGAGAGGUGGUGUCCCUUGUGUAAGGGGUCCUUAGGCGAAGUCAGUGGAAUGGCACAUGCAGAAUUCUGGUGCACUGACUCGUGAAAUAUCUGUUGAUUGGUAAUGACCACCCCACUGGAGAGCAGAAGGAUCACCGGUUGGAAGGCAGUUGCCCUGCAAGGGCUGUAAACAUCCUGCCCUCCUAGCUUCAUCCAGUCUCUGAAGAAAACAAAUCUGGGCAUUGGCUAGGAGCUGGAGGAGCCUGAGCUGUCUCUGUUUUCAAGGCAUGUGAUUCUGAGCUCAGACAAUCUUCUAGAACCAGCUUCAGUAUUGAUUCGAAAAGGAGAAACCUGAGAUGCGAAAGGUCUUCCAUGGCCACAGGGAAGGUGAUAGAGCAGCCUGCUUUUGAGCUCCCCAUGACGCUCACCCACUCCUGCCUCCUCUGGAACUAGGAAAUCUGUGAAGUUGGAAAGAGCAUUUGAUUUUGAGCCCCGGAUUCCAGACUCUUCCCUGACGCUGACUCACCAAUGACCGUGAGAGAAUCAGGCAACCCUGCUGGGCCUCAGUUUCCUCAUCUGUAAAAUAAGGUGAGAGUCCCGUCUGCUUGGGGCAAGACAGGUGAUUAAA
rnacentral:lncRNA from 1 species